CCUACGGGUGGCUGCAGUGAGGAAUAUUGGUCAAUGGACGGAAGUCUGAACCAGCCAUGCCGCGUGCAGGAAGACGGCUCUAUGAGUUGUAAACUGCUUUUGUACAAGGGUAAACCUGAAUACGUGUAUUCGGCUGAAAGUACUGUACGAAUAAGGAUCGGCUAACUCCGUGCCAGCAGCCGCGGUAAUACGGAGGAUCCAAGCGUUAUCCGGAUUUAUUGGGUUUAAGGGUGGGUAGGCGGGUUUGUUAGGUUGAGGGGAAAUUCACCGGCGUAACGCCGGAACUGCCUCUAAUUAUGUUGAACUAGAGAAGAGUUGCGGUAGGCGGAAUGUAUGGUGUAGCGGUGAAAUGCUUAGAGAUCAGACAGAACACCGAUGGCGAAGGCAGCUUACCAAUCUAUAUCUGACGUUGAGGCACGAAAGCGUGGGGAGCAAACAGGAUUAGAUACCCGAGUAGUC
rnacentral:rRNA from 1 species